rnacentral:rRNA from 1 species
AUUGAACGCUGGCGGCAGGCCUAACACAUGCAAGUCGAACGGCAGCACAGAAGAGCUUGCUCUUUGGGUGGCGAGUGGCGGACGGGUGAGUAAUGUCUGGGAAACUGCCCGAUGGAGGGGGAUAACUACUGGAAACGGUAGCUAAUACCGCAUAACGUCGCGAGACCAAAGUGGGGGACCUUCGGGCCUCACACCAUCGGAUGUGCCCAGAUGGGAUUAGCUAGUAGGUGGGGUAAUGGCUCACCUAGGCGACGAUCCCUAGCUGGUCUGAGAGGAUGACCAGCCACACUGGAACUGAGACACGGUCCAGACUCCUACGGGAGGCAGCAGUGGGGAAUAUUGCACAAUGGGCGCAAGCCUGAUGCAGCCAUGCCGCGUGUAUGAAGAAGGCCUUCGGGUUGUAAAGUACUUUCAGCGGGGAGGAAGGCGGUGAGGUUAAUAACCUUGCCGAUUGACGUUACCCGCAGAAGAAGCACCGGCUAACUCCGUGCCAGCAGCCGCGGUAA